rnacentral:rRNA from 1 species
AAACUCACCAGGUCAGGACACGGUAAGGAUUGACGGACUGAAGGCUCUUUCUCGAUUCCGUGGAAAGUGGUGCAUGGCCGUUUUGGUUGGUGGAUCGAUCCGUCUGGUUAAUUCCGUUAACGAACGAGACCUCGGCACUCCGAAUAGCGCGGCGGACGUCGCGGCCUCCGGGCCGUCUUCCGCACGAGCUUCUUAGAGGGACCGUCCCCCGCCGGGGAAGGAGGUGCGAGGCAACGACAGGUCUGUGAUGCCCUUAGAUGUUCUGGGCCGCACGCGCAUUACACUGACGCGUCCAACGGGUGACUCCCGACCCCGAAGGGGCCGGGGAAUCCGCAAGGCGCGUCGUGAUGGGGAUUGAACGUUGCAAUUGUUGUUCACGAACGAGGAAUUCCUAGUAGGCGCGGGUCAUCAACCCGCGCCGAUUACGUCCCUGCCCUUUGUACACACCG